AAGUUCAUGCCGAAAUAUUAAUAACUGGAUAGAAAUGUAUUCUGCAAAAACAAAACAAAGUAGAUUAGGAUUGCAUAUGGUCGUUAUAACUGUGAUUUGAGCUGCCAUAUUAAAAUUGAUGCAUGAUUUUUAAUGAGUUAGUGUUAGAAUGAUAUUGAUGUACAAAACCCUUCUAUUAACGAUGUGCUGAUGGGUCCAUGCUGAAUGAAAGAAAAAACUACACGUACAAAAUAUUAAAUGAAAACAUUAGG
rnacentral:lncRNA from 1 species